UACAGAGGUCUCAAGCGUUGCUCGGAUUCAUUGGGCGUAAAGGGUGCGUAGGUGGCGCCGUAAGUCAGGUGUGAAAUCCCGGGGCUCAACCCCGGAACUGCACUUGAUACUGCGGUGCUCGAGUACUGGAGAGGAGAUUGGAAUUUACGGUGUAGCAGUGAAAUGCGUAGAUAUCGUAAGGAAGACCAGUGGCGAAGGCGAAUCUCUGGACAGUUACUGACACUGAGGCACGAAGGCCAGGGGAGCAAACGGG
rnacentral:rRNA from 1 species